rnacentral:rRNA from 1 species
UACGAAGGGGGCUAGCGUUGCUCGGAAUCACUGGGCGUAAAGGGCGCGUAGGCGGCGUUUUAAGUCGGGGGUGGAAGCCUGUGGCUCAACCACAGAAUGGCCUUCGAUACUGGGACGCUUGAGUAUGGUAGAGGUUGGUGGAACUGCGAGUGUAGAGGUGAAAUUCGUAGAUAUUCGCAAGAACACCGGUGGCGAAGGCGGCCAACUGGACCAUUACUGACGCUGAGGCGCGAAAGCGUGGGGAGCAAACAGG